UGUGACCGCCCAACAUUGGAACUGAGAAUCGCCCAGAUCCUACGAAGGCAGGCAGUGGGGAAUAUUGGCACCAAUUGGGCGCAAGCUUGAUGCAGCGACGUCGCGUGGGAGGAUGAAGUUUCGGAUCGUAAACUCUGUUAGUGGGAGAAGAGUGGAUGUAAUAGCAUUCAAAGAUGACGGUACACUAGAGAAAGCACCGGCAAACUUCGUGCCAGCAGCCGCGGUAAUACGAAAGGGUGCGAGCGUUAUUCGGAAUUACUGGGCGUAAAGGGCGCGUAGGCGGUUUCCUAAGCAGCUUGUUAAAGACCACUUAAGUCGGUGGGGAUGCAGGUUGAACUGGGAGACUAGAGGGUAGGAGAGAGAAGUGGAAUUCUUGGAGUAGCGGUAAAAUGCGUAGAUCUCAAGAGGAACACCGAUGGCGAAGGCAGCUUCUUGGCCUACUACUGACGCUGAGGCGCGAGAGCGUGGGGAGCAAACAGGAUUAGAUACCCUGGUAGUCCACGCUGUAAACGAUGAUCACUAGACGUUAGGUUCCCUUGAGGAGCUUAGUGUCGUAGCUAACGCGAUAAGUGAUCCGCCUGGGGAGUACGGUCGCAAGACUAAAACUCAAAGAAAUUGACGGGGGUCCGCACAAGCGGUGGAACAUGUGGUUUAAUUCGACACUACGCGAGGAACCUUACCUGGGC
rnacentral:rRNA from 1 species